UCCGAGUUGUCCCCGGCAGUCCUCUUAGAGUCCCCGGCAUUACCCGCUGGCAACUAAGAGCAGGGGUUGCGCUCGUUGCGGCACUUAAGCCAACACCUCACGGCACGAGCUGACGACCUGCUUUCUCCCAUCUUUCGAAGGGGCAGGACUAUACCUUCACCCGGUCUGCCAGACCGGGGCCGGCGUAUUGCACCGCCCAUAAAUUUAGGCCUCAACAUCAGACCUAUUAGGCGAUGCCAUUACAGUCUCUA
rnacentral:misc_RNA from 1 species